rnacentral:rRNA from 1 species
GAUGAACGCUGGCGGCGUGCCUAAUACAUGCAAGUCGAGCGAACAGACGAGGAGCUUGCUCCUCUGACGUUAGCGGCGGACGGGUGAGUAACACGUGGAUAACCUACCUAUAAGACUGGGAUAACUUCGGGAAACCGGAGCUAAUACCGGAUAAUAUAUUGAACCGCAUGGUUCAAUAGUGAAAGACGGUUUUGCUGUCACUUAUAGAUGGUUCCGCGCCGCAUUAGCUAGUUGGUAAGGUAACGGCUUACCAAGGCGACGAUGCGUAGCCGACCUGAGAGGGUGAUCGGCCACACUGGAACUGAGACACGGUCCAGACUCCGACGGGAGGCAGCAGUAGGGAAUCUUCCGCAAUGGGCGAAAGCCUGACGGAGCAACGCCGCGUGAGUGAUGAAGGUCUUCGGAUCGUAAAACUCUGUUAUUAGGGAAGAACAAAUGUGUAAGUAACUAUGCACGUCUGGACGGUACCUAAUCAGAAAGCCACGGCUAACUACGU